rnacentral:rRNA from 1 species
CCUACGGGAGGCAGCAGUGAGGAAUAUUGGUCAAUGGGCGCGAGCCUGAACCAGCCAAGUAGCGUGAAGGAUGACUGCCCUACGGGUUGUAAACCUCUUUUAUAAAGGAAUAAAGUGAGGCUCGUGUCCCUUUUUGUAUGUACUUUAUGAAUACGGAUCGGCUACCUCCGUGCCAGCAGCCGCGGUAAUACGGAGGAUCCGAGUGUUAUCCGGCUUUAUUGGGUUUAAAGGGUGCGUAGGUGGAUUGUCAAGUCAGGUGUGAAAGUGUGCGGCCGAAACGUAAAAGUGCAGUUGAAACUGGCAGUCUUGAGUACACGAGGGGUAGGCGGAAUGCGUGGUGUAGCGGUGAAAUGCUUAGAUAUCACGAAGAACUCCGAUCGCGAAGGCAGUUCACUGGAGUGCAACUGACGCUGAGGCUCGAAAGUGUGGGUAUCGAACAGGAUUAGAUACCCUUGUAGUC